UCUUAGGCAAAUCCGGGAUCACUUACGCCGAGCACCGAGACGAGUCCUAUGAGGACGAAGUGACUGACACCACGCUUCCAGGAAAAGCCACUAAGCUUCAGCUUAAGAAAAACCGUACCGCAAACCGACACAGGUAGGCAGGGUGAGAAUCCCAAGGCGCUUGAGAGAACUCGGGUGAAGGAACUAGGCAAAAUGGCACCGUAACUUCGGGAGAAGGUGCGCCCUUUGGUGUGGUCACGUGCGUGACUGAGCAUCGAAGGGUCGCAGUAACCUGGCCGCUGCGACUGUUUAUCAAAAACACAGCACUCUGCAAACACGAAAGUGGACGUAUAGGGUGUGACGCCUGCCCGGUGCUGGAAGGUUAAUUGAUGGGGUCAGCCGCAAGGCGAAGCUCUUGAUCGAAGCCCCAGUAAACGGCGGCCGUAACGAUAGCGGUCCUAAGGUAGCGAAAUUCCUUGUCGGGUAAGUUCCGACCUGCACGAAUGGCGUAACGACAGCGGCGCUGUCUCCACCCGAGACUCAGUGAAAUUGAAAUCGCUGUGAAGAUGCAGCGUUCCCGCGGCAAGACGGAAAGACCCCGUGAACCUUUACUAUAGCUUUACACUGAACGUUGAGUUCUACUGUGUAGGAUAGGUGGGAGGCUAUGAAACCAGGACGCUAGUUCUGGUGGAGCCAUCCUUGAAAUACCACCCUGAAGUGCUUGACGUUCUAACCUAGGCCCGUAAUCCGGGUCAGGGACCGUGUAUGGUGGGUAGUUUGACUGGGGCGGUCUCCUCCCAAAGAGUAACGGAGGAGCACGAAGGUACGCUCAGCGCGGUCGGACAUCGCGCACUGUGUGCAAAGGCAUAAGCGUGCUUGACUGCGAGAUCGACGGAUCAAGCAGGUACGAAAGUAGGUCUUAGUGAUCCGGUGGUUCUGUAUGGAAGGGCCAUCGCUCAACGGAUAAAAGGUACUCCGGGGAUAACAGGCUGAUACCGCCCAAGAGUUCAUAUCGACGGCGGUGUUUGGCACCUCGAUGUCGGCUCAUCACAUCCUGGGGCUGUAGCCGGUCCCAAGGGUAUGGCUGUUCGCCAUUUAAAGUGGUACGCGAGCUGGGUUCAGAACGUCGUGAGACAUUUCGGUCCCUAUCUGUCGUGGGCGUUGGAGAUUUGAGGGGGGCUGCUCCUAGUACGAGAGGACCGGAGUGGACGUUCCGCUGGUGUUCGGGUUGUCAUGCCCAUGGCAUUGCCCGGUAGCUACGAACGGAAGUGAUAACCGCUGAAAGCAUCUAAGCGGGAAGCACGCCCCAAGAUGAGAUCUCCCGAGAGCUUGACUCUCCUAAAGACACCAUCAAGACUAGGUGGUUGAUAGGUCAGGUGUGGAAGCGCAGCAAUGCGUUGAGCUAACUGAUACUAAUGAGCCGUGAGGCUUGAUC
rnacentral:rRNA from 1 species